CUCUGCCACCCAAGGCUCAGGCUCCCACAGCUCUGCCUCCCACACCUUUGCCGCCCACCUCAGCCGACAUUCAAGGCCUCAUCGCGAACUUCCUCAAGGAGUACUACGGUCUUUAUGAAACCGCAGACCGCGAGGGUCUGCUCAAGAAGUAUCAUAAGGAUGCCCUCAUCACCAUCUACACCCCCUCAGAGAGCAGCCUGGGAGAGGAGGGUACAGACAAGCCGACCCCGGAAGAUUCACGUGAGUGUUCGUCAUGAGCGAUGUUUGCAGAUCCGCGCGUCACUGUGUCGCC